GUCGAACGGUAACAGGGAGCUUGCUCCGCUGACGAGUGGCGAACGGGUGAGUAAUGUAUCGGAACGUACCUUUCAGUGGGGGAUAACGUAGCGAAAGUUACGCUAAUACCGCAUAUUCUGUGAGCAGGAAAGCAGGGGAUCGCAAGACCUUGCGCUGAUUGAGCGGCCGAUAUCAGAUUAGCUAGUUGGUGAGGUAAAGGCUCACCAAGGCGACGAUCUGUAGCGGGUCUGAGAGGAUGAUCCGCCACACUGGAACUGAGACACGGUCCAGACUCCUACGGGAGGCAGCAGUGGGGAAUUUUGGACAAUGGGGGCAACCCUGAUCCAGCCAUGCCGCGUGAGUGAAGAAGGCCUUCGGGUUGUAAAGCUCUUUCGGCCGGGAAGAAAUCGCAUGGGUUAAUACCCCAUGCGGAUGACGGUACCGGCAUAAGAAGCACCGGCUAACUACGUGCCAGCAGCCGCGGUAAUACGUAGGGUGCGAGCGUUAAUCGGAAUUACUGGGCGUAAAGCGUGCGCAGGCGGUUUUGUAAGACAGGCGUGAAAUCCCCGGGCUCAACCUGGGAACUGCGCUUGUGACUGCAAGGCUAGAGUAUGGCAGAGGGGGGUGGAAUUCCACGUGUAGCAGUGAAAUGCGUAGAGAUGUGGAGGAACCCAAUGGCGAAGCAGCCCCCUGGGCCAUACUGACGCUCAUGCACGAAGCGUGGUAGCAACAGGAUAGAUACCUGGUAUCACGCGUAACGAUGAUACUAGCUGUGGCGCAGCUCAUGCUAGCGAG
rnacentral:rRNA from 1 species